rnacentral:rRNA from 1 species
UCCGUUAGGGGACCUGCGGAAGGAUCAUUACCUAGAGUUUGUAGACUUCGGUCUGCUACCUCUUACCCAUGUCUUUUGAGUACCUUCGUUUCCUCGGCGGGUCCGCCCGCCGAUUGGACAACAUUCAAACCCUUUGCAGUUGCAAUCAGCGUCUGAAAAAACAUAAUAGUUACAACUUUCAACAACGGAUCUCUUGGUUCUGGCAUCGAUGAAGAACGCAGCGAAAUGCGAUAAGUAGUGUGAAUUGCAGAAUUCAGUGAAUCAUCGAAUCUUUGAACGCACAUUGCGCCCCUUGGUAUUCCAUGGGGCAUGCCUGUUCGAGCGUCAUUUGUACCUUCAAGCUCUGCUUGGUGUUGGGUGUUUGUCUCGCCUCCGCGUGUAGACUCGCCUUAAAACAAUUGGCAGCCGGCGUAUUGAUUUCGGAGCGCAGUACAUCUCGCGCUUUGCACUCAUAACGACGACGUCCAAAAGUACAUUUUUACACUCUUGACCUCGGAUCAGGUAGGGAUACCCGCUGAACUUAAGCAUAUCAAUAGGCCGGAGG